ACUGAACGCUGGCGGCAGGCUUAACACAUGCAAGUCGAGCGGGGUGAUGGUGCUUGCACUAUCACUUAGCGGCGGACGGGUGAGUAAUGCUUAGGAAUCUGCCUAUUAGUGGGGGACAACAUCUCGAAAGGGAUGCUAAUACCGCAUACGUCCUACGGGAGAAAGCAGGGGAUCACUUGUGACCUUGCGCUAAUAGAUGAGCCUAAGUCGGAUUAGCUAGUUGGUGGGGUAAAGGCCUACCAAGGCGACGAUCUGUAGCGGGUCUGAGAGGAUGAGCCGCCACACUGGGACUGAGAAACGGCCCAGACUCCUACGGGAGGCAGCAGUGGGGAAUAUUGGACAAUGGGGGGAACCCUGAUCCAGCCAUGCCGCGUGUGCGAAGAAGGCCUUAUGGUUGUAAAGCACUUUAAGCGAGGAGGAGGCUCUUUUGGUUAAUACCCAAGAUGAGUGGACGUUACUCGCAGAAUAAGCACCGGCUAACUCUGUGCCAGCAGCCGCGGUAA
rnacentral:rRNA from 1 species